UACGGGGGGAGCAAGCGUUGUUCGGAUUUACUGGGCGUAAAGGGCGCGUAGGCGGUCAGCACAAGUCGGUUGUGAAAUCUCCGAGCUUAACUCGGAAAGGUCAACCGAAACUGUGCGACUAGAGUGCAGAAGGGGCAACUGGAAUUCUUGGUGUAGCGGUGAAAUGCGUAGAUAUCUGGAGGAACACCGGUGGCGAAGGCGGCAUCCUGGACCAACACUGACGCUGAGGAGCGAAAGCUAGGGGAGCAAACGGG
rnacentral:rRNA from 1 species